rnacentral:rRNA from 16 species
UUGAGGUUCUAACCUAGGUCCAUUAUCUGGAUCAGGGACAGUGCCUGAUGGGUAGUUUAACUGGGGCGGUUGCCUCCUAAAGAGUAACGGAGGCGCACGUAAGGUCUGCUCAGGACGGUCGGCAACCGUCCCUUUGAGUGCAAGAGCAUAAGCAGGCUUGACUGCGAGACGGACAGGUCGAGCAGAUGGGAAACCAGGUUCUAGUGAUCCGGCGGCUCAGCGUGGUAUGGCCGUCGCUCAACGGAUAAAAGGUACCCCGGGGAUAACAGGCUGAUCUUCCCCAAGAGUCCACAUCGACGGGAAGGUUUGGCACCUCGAUGUCGGCUCGUCGCAUCCUGGGG